rnacentral:sRNA from 2 species
GACCUUAUAUUGCUUAAUCCUUAUGGAGUGGGGGACCCAUCUUUGUGCAUAGCACUCGGGGUGAAUCCUUCGUUAGAGGGUAGGGCUACUUUCAAAGUCCGAGUCCGACAGCUAACCCCAUCAGCGUUUUGGAAGGAGGUU